AGUCACUGACAUUAGAUACCCGGGUAGUCCAGGGUGUAAACGCUGCAGACUUGGUGUUGGAAGUCCUUUGGGGGCAUCUACGAGAUGGCCCUGUGCUGUAGGGUAGCCGUUAAACUCGCUGCCUGGGAGUACGGUCGCAAGGCUGAAACUUAAAGGAAUUGGCGGGGAGCACCACAACGGGUGGAGCCUGCGGUUUAAUUGGACUCAACGCCGGGAAGCUCACCGGAUAAGACAGCGGAAUGAUUGCCGGGCUGAAGACCCUGCAUGACCAGCUG
rnacentral:rRNA from 1 species